UACGUAGGGAGCAAGCGUUGUCCGGAAUCAUUGGGCGUAAAGCGCGCGUAGGCGGCCUCGUAAGUCCGUUGUGAAAGUCAAAGGCUCAACCUUUGAAAGCCGAUGGAUACUGGAUGGCUUGAAUCCGGGAGAGGGAUGCAGAAUUCCAGGUGUAGCGGUGAAAUGCGUAGAUAUCUGGAGGAAUACCGGUGGCGAAGGCGGCAUCCUGGACCGGCAUUGACGCUGAGGAGCGAAAGCCAGGGGAGCAAACGGG
rnacentral:rRNA from 1 species